UACAGAGACUGCAAGCGUUAUUCGGAUUCACUGGGCGUAAAGGGUGCGCAGGCGGUUGGGUGUGUCAGAUGUGAAAUCCCGAGGCUUAACCUCGGAACUGCGUCUGAAACUACUCGACUAGAGUACUGGAGGGGAAACGGAAUUCACGGUGUAGCAGUGAAAUGCGUAGAUAUCGUGAGGAACACCAGAGGCGAAGGCGGUUUCCUGGACAGUUACUGACGCUCAGGCACGAAAGCAUGGGGAGCAAAAGGG
rnacentral:rRNA from 1 species